rnacentral:rRNA from 1 species
CCUACGGGUGGCAGCAGUGGGGAAUCUUCCGCAAUGGACGAAAGUCUGACGGAGCAACGCCGCGUGAGUGAAGAAGGUUUUCGGAUCGUAAAGCUCUGUUUUUAGGGACGAAUGGUAGAUAUGCAAAUAGUGUAUAUACAUGACGGUACCUAAAGAGGAAGCCACGGCUAACUACGUGCCAGCAGCCGCGGUAAUACGUAGGUGGCAAGCGUUGUCCGGAAUUAUUGGGCGUAAAGCGCGCGCAGGCGGUUUCUUAAGUCUGAUGUGAAAGCCCCCGGCUCAACCGGGGAGGGUCAUUGGAAACUGGGGAACUUGAGUGCAGAAGAGAAGAGCGGAAUUCCACGUGUAGCGGUGAAAUGCGUAGAGAUGUGGAGGAACACCAGUGGCGAAGGCGGCUCUUUGGUCUGUAACUGACGCUGAGGCGCGAAAGCGUGGGGAGCAAACAGGAUUAGAUACCCUUGUAGUC